rnacentral:rRNA from 1 species
AGACGUAGGGGGCGAGCGUUGUCCGGAAUUACUGGGCGUAAAGAGCACGUAGGCGGAUAAUUAAGUCAGAUGUGAAAGACCGCGGCCCAACCGCGGGGUUGCAUCUGAAACUGGAUAUCUUGAGGGCAGGAGAGGGCAGUGGAAUUCCUGGUGUAGCGGUGAAAUGCGUAGAAAUCAGGAGGAACACCAGUGGCGAAGGCGGCUGCCUGGACUGACCCUGACGCUGAGGUGCGAAAGCGUGGGUAGCAAACAGGAUUAGAUACCCUGGUAGUCCACGCUGUAAACGAUGGAUACUAGGUGUGGGAGGUAUCGACCCCUUCCGUGCCGCAGCUAACGCAAUAAGUAUCCCGCCUGGGGAGUACGGUCGCAAGGCUGAA